rnacentral:lncRNA from 1 species
CGUGAGGGUGGGGCAGGGGAGAUCUGAGGAGUGUGCUCACUGCCCCUCCCUCAUCCACCGGCACACCAGACCCCUCUGUCCGACUGUGCUCUUCCAUUUCUCAACUGACUGCCCUGUGGGACAUAGCUAUAAGGCUGUUUAUGUGACAUCCACAGCUAGCACUCUCACUUGGUCUCCUUGUGGAUCAGAGCCUCCUAGCCAGGCAACCUCAGCCCAAUUUUUAUUUCACAACUUUUUACUGGUGGAAAUGAGGAGAAACAGACAUCAGCAAGUCUAGGCUCUGCCCUUAAGGAGCUCCUGCUGAGGAGGCUAUAGAGACAAGUUUUACACAGUUCAAGAACCACACAUGUGCAGAGGAGCGGUCCAUCAUGUUUACUAACUGCCAAACAAUCUGAAAUAGAUGGGAGGUGUGGGUCCUUACUGCUGGAACAUCAUGCUCCUCACCCAAGGCUUCCCUGCCUCUCUCCUCAGCUUUUAAUUUGAAUUAAUGAGUCUUCAAGAAGAUGGUCAAAGAUCAGCUGUUCUCUUCUAACAUAAUAUCAUUGGUCGGAUGUCCUUACAUGCAUAUGUGCCUGGAGUUAAAAACCACAAUAAGUUCCAAUAAUUGAAGGAGUUGUG